rnacentral:rRNA from 1 species
AGUGAACGCUGGCGGUAGGCCUAACACAUGCAAGUCGAACGGCAGCACAGUAAGAGCUUGCUCUUACGGUUGGCGAGUGGCGGACGGGUGAGGAAUACAUCGGCAUCUACUUUUUCGUGGGGGAUAACGUAGGGAAACUUACGCUAAUACCGCAUACGACCUACGGGUGAAAGCAGGGGAUCUUCGGACCUUGCGCGAUUGAAUGAGCCGAUGUCGGAUUAGCUAGUUGGCGGGGUAAAGGCACACCAAGGCGACGAUCCGUAGCUGGUCUGAGAGGAUGAUCAGCCACACUGGAACUGAGACACGGUCCAGACUCCUACGGGAGGCAGCAGUGGGGAAUAUUGGACAAUGGGCGCAAGCCUGAUCCAGCCAUACCGCGUGGGUGAAGAAGGCCUUCGGGUUGUAAAGCCCUUUUGUUGGGAAAGAAAAGCAGCAGGUUAAUACCCCGCUGUUCUGACGGUACCCAAAGAAUAAGCACCGGCUAACUUCGUG